CAGUAGCCGCGGUAAUACGUAGGGUGCGAGCGUUAAUCGGAAUUACUGGGCGUAAAGCGUGCGCAGGCGGUUUUGUAAGACAGAGGUGAAAUCCCCGGGCUCAACCUGGGAACUGCCUUUGUGACUGCAAGGCUAGAGUACGGCAGAGGGGGAUGGAAUUCCGCGUGUAGCAGUGAAAUGCGUAGAUAUGCGGAGGAACACCGAUGGCGAAGGCAAUCCCCUGGGCCUGUACUGACGCUCAUGCACGAAAGCGUGGGGAGCAAACAGGAUUAGAUACCCCUGUAGUCCCUGUCUCUUAUCC
rnacentral:rRNA from 1 species